rnacentral:lncRNA from 12 species
CAAAAAGUGGGUCAAAUAUUGGCAAGUAACGUCUUCCUUUGGUUGCCGUGUGGGUUUGUGUGGAUGAAAUUCACCAUAUGUAAGUAAGCCUUUUUCUCAUCUUUCUGAAGAUCCCUUGAGAAACAUCUUUGCACUGAGAAAAAUGAUCCUCCGUCACAGACUGACCCUAUCUCCAAAUCCAGACCAGAAACCUGACAGUGCUUGACCACGCAGCAACAGCGAGAAAAGUAUGGCGUUUUCAAAGGACUUCUCAACUGUAAUGAGACUUCUCAAUUAGCAGAAACAUGACCAAGGGAAUUAAAAACAAAAACAAAAACAAAAAAAAUCAAUGUCUUAAAGACUUUGUACA